rnacentral:sRNA from 1 species
GCUGGGUAUGGUGGCACAUGCCUAUAAUCCCAGCAACUCAGGAGGCUGAGGCAGGACGACUACAAGUUCAAGGCCAGCCUCAGCAACUUAGUGAGAUCCUGCCUUAA